rnacentral:tRNA from 1 species
GGGCGGCUAGCUCAGCUGGUGAGAGUGCCUGCUCGACAAGCAGGAGGUCACUGGUUCGACUCCAGUGCCGCCCACCA